UACGUAGGGGGCAAGCGUUGUCCGGAAUUAUUGGGCGUAAAGAGCUCGUAGGCGGUUUGUCGCGUCUGCUGUGAAAACUCGGGGCUUAACCCCGGGCCUGCAGUGGGUACGGGCAGACUAGAGUGCGGUAGGGGAGACUGGAAUUCCUGGUGUAGCGGUGAAAUGCGCAGAUAUCAGGAGGAACACCGGUGGCGAAGGCGGGUCUCUGGGCCGUAACUGACGCUGAGGAGCGAAAGCAUGGGGAGCGAACAGG
rnacentral:rRNA from 1 species